rnacentral:rRNA from 1 species
UACGUAGGGUGCAAGCGUUAAUCGGAAUUACUGGGCGUAAAGCGUGCGUAGGCGGCCUCUUAAGUCAGUGGUGAAAGCCCGCGGCUCAACCUGGGAAUUGCGAUGGAGACUGCAAGGCUUGAAUCUGGCAGAGGGGGGUAGAAUUCCACGUGUAGCAGUGAAAUGCGUAGAGAUGUGGAGGAACACCGAUGGCGAAGGCAGCCCCCUGGGUCAAGAUUGACGCUCAUGCACGAAAGCGUGGGGAGCAAACAGG